AGUGCCUGGAGUUCCUGGAGGACAGCCCCUUCCUCCAGAGCAGGGGCUGGGUCAAGAACUGUGUGAACACCAUCAAGGUGUACGGGGACGGAGCGUGGGUCCUGUAUGAGGAGCCCAACUACCACGGCCGCAUGUACGUGGUGGAGAGUGGCGACUUCCGCAGCUUCUCGGACUGGGAGGCCCACAGCGCACGAGUGCAGU
rnacentral:lncRNA from 1 species